GAAGCUUCGAGCUUCUCCUACCUGCGUUAAGUUUUACUUAGGUUAAGCUCCCUCUUAAGGGAGGGUAGGAGUAAUUGUUAUAGUUUGUAUUUGAUAACUGGUUUACAGCCAACUGUGUUUAUCAUUUUAUAGUUUAGUGCGUGGGUUCGAUUUUGAUGGUUGUUUUUCCUUCUGCCUUACAUUGUGUAACUGUUCAUUUGGGAGCUGUUGAAACCUGCGGUUUGUUUUGCGAGCUGGGGACCAGCUCAAAAUUUUGCCGGACUCAAAAUUUUCUUCGGGAAGGGGAGCACUGUAACAACAAAAUGUAAUUUUUCUUCUUCAUUAUUAAAAAAAGUAAGGCUCGCGUUAGUUCCGAACUCCUACAGCCAUCUAGCUAAGGAUUAGCGUACUAGCUAACGCGCGAUCGAACACUAUGGGUCAGAAUUGCCAGCUUCAAAUUCGGAAGAAACAUUGCGUUUCCCCGCUUUCCUGUGUUUUAUUCGUAGAACAUAUUUAAUCAUAGUGUGUUUUUCUUUAACAUUAUGUAAUUCCUGCGCAGAUGGUUAGUUUUUUUUUAAGUAAAACAGAAGGAACCAUAAACGAUCGUUUUGUCUGUGGAGUCAUGUAGUGUUUGCACGAGCCUAAUUCGGACUUGGCAACCCCGUCGGCCUAUCUGUCACUCAAGAUGUCGGAAAGGAAGGGAGAUCUUCUUUUUGUUCGAUUCGAGCCGGGAUCGGCUAUACCCUUUGAGAUCGGGCUCCAUCGCCCAUUUGACCCCGGCAUAACAUGCUAACCUUAAAUUUGUUGCUGCGUUGAAGAGCGAUACAUCGCGUGCCCCGGGUGUUGACAUAAGCUGCAUAAUUUCCAUGCAAGCCUUUUAUCCACAAACGGGUAAGUUUUGCAUUUUUUUUAACCUUUAGGUAAGGUUUCGUGUAAAUCGAAAUUCGUGUCGGGCAUUAUUGAAUCGUGUUAGUGUUCCAAACUUGAAAUCAAGGCGAUCUCCGCCCUACAGUAUUAAUUGGGAUUCAAUCCCAGCCGUAAUCAGGUGACUUGCCCUAACGAGUAUACAAUAAUUUCAGGGUUCACGGCGGGGCGCUAACUACCUGGCUAACUCGCGCGGUCUCCGACCACCUGCCUCAUGCACCGGUAACCCCAGAUAAUACCAGCGGUAGUGAGCUGUCGCUGACCGUUUUGUAACCAUCCGUCCAGGCCUACACAGAACGUGGCGGCUGGGGUACAAUUCCCGACGUUGGAGGUUAGACCCAUCCUUUAUUAACUAUUUGACAUUUGGACCAGAUCGACUGGCCCUGGCGCCCAUAUACAUCUCCUGUAUUUUCUAAAUUUAGUUCCUCGGAUCGCUGUUUCUACCAAAAUCUAAAUAAAAGAGUUCGUUAACCCCGAUUUGUUCCCUGAAGCUAAAGUUUAAAAAAGAAUUAAUAAGUACUGUAGAGUCUGUGCAAUCUAUGCUAGCCGGUUAUUAUUAAGAAACUUGUCUUACUAUUAAGAAACCUUUAGAUAGAUAUAUAUAUAAAUAUAGGAUUACCUCAACUGUGACUUCUUGCAGUAUUGAUGACGGGUUCUUCCAACCUCAGUGAUUUCAAUAAAAGCUUAGUUACUGAC